rnacentral:rRNA from 1 species
GUGCCAGCCGCCGCGGUAAUACAGAGGGUGCAAGCGUUAAUCGGAAUUACUGGGCGUAAAGCGUGCGUAGGUGGUUCUUUAAGUCAGGUGUGAAAUCCCUGGGCUCAACCUGGGAACUGCAUUCGGAUACUGAAGAGCUAGAGUGUGAUAGAGGAUAGUGGAAUUCCCGGUGUAGCGGCGAAAUGCGUAGAUAUCGGGAGGAACACCAGUNGNGAAGGCGGNUAUCUGGAUCAACACUGACACUNAGGCACAAAAGCGUNGGUAGCAAAC